GGCACCAUUUUGUCACAUGAAACAAACUACAAAAACAUAUAUUGUUUCCUUCAUCAAAUGUAUUUGUAAAUCUAGGUUUUAUUCUAUCAAAACUUUUGUCUUCUAAAUAGUCAAAACAUAUAUAUGUCCAGGCUUUGCAAAAUAUAGUAAUCCAUUAUCAGUCAUGAUAUUAAAAUCUCAUUCUCAUGAAUUAAAUCAAAGAUUUUAAAUCAACCUCAGAAGUAACAACAUUGUUUUUUCCUUCUGUAAAAUGAUUGGAGUUACUGUAU